rnacentral:rRNA from 1 species
AGUCUGGUGCCAGCAGCCGCGGUAAUUCCAGCUCUCAAAGUGCAUAGAAUUAUUGCUGCGGUUAAAAAGCUCGUAGUUGGAUCUGUGCCAUAGGACGGGGUCCACCUUCGGGUGCGUACUCCGCUCCUAGGCUUUUUGCUGGUUUUCCCGUCGUAGCCUUCACUGGUUGCGGCGGGUGGCUGGCGAGUUUACUUUGAGAAAAUCAGAGUGCUCAAUACAGGCGUCUAGCUUGAAUGAUUGUGCAUGGAAUAAUAGAAAAGGAUUUCGGUCCUCUUUUAUUGGUUUUGUGGACUGAGAUAAUGGUUAACAGGGACAAACGGGGGCAUUCGUAUCGCUGCGUGAGAGGUGAAAUUCUUGGACCGUAGCGAGACGCCCUACUGCGAAAGCAUUUGCCAAGAAUGUCUUCAUUAAUCAAGAACGAAAGUCAGAGGUUCGAAGGCGAUCAGAUACCGCCCUAGUUCUGACCGUAAACGAUGCCAACUAGCGAUCCGCCGGUGGAUUUUUAGCCCUGGUGGGUAGCUUCCCGGAAACGAAAGUCUUCCGGUUCCGGGGGAAGUAUGGUUGCAAAGCUGAAACUUAAAGGAAUUGACGGAAGGGCACCACCAGGAGUGGAGCCUGCGGCUUAAUUUGACACAACACGGGGAAACUCACCCGGCCCGGACACCGUAAGGAUUGACAGAUUGAUAGCUCUUUCAUGAUUCGGUGGUUGGUGGUGCAUGGCCGUUCUUAGUUCGUGGAUCGAUUUGUCUGGUUUAUUCCGAUAACGAGCGAGACUCUAGCCUACUAAAUAGUAACGAGAUUGCCAUUGUCUUAGUUGCUUCUUAGAGGGAUUUUCGGUGUUUAGCCGCACGAGAUUGAGCAAUAACAGGUCUGUGAUGCCCUUAGAUGUCCGGGGCUGCACGCGCGCUACACUGGCGAAAUCAGCGUGCUGUAUCCAUUCUCGAAAGAGAUUGGUAAACCCAUGAAAAUUUGCCGUGCUUGGGAUCGGAAAUUGCAAUUAUUUUCCGUGAACGAGGAAUUCCAAGUAAGUGCGAGUCAUCAACUCGCUCUGAUUACGUCCCUGCCCUUUGUACACACCGCCCGUCGCUGCCCGGGACUGUCCCAUUUCGAGGAGAUCAGGGACCGGUGGGCUGUGGCCUCUUCGGAGGUUCGGUCCGUUGGAAACUGAUUUGAUCGCAGUGGCUUGAACCGGGCAAAAGUCGUAACAAGGUAGCCGUAGGUGAACCUGCGGCUG